GGGGAAUUAGCUCAGCUGGGAGAGCACCUGCUUUGCAAGCAGGAGGUCAUCGGUUCGAUUCCGUUAUUCUCCA
rfam:Lactobacillus panis DSM 6035 NODE_183, whole genome shotgun sequence.